rnacentral:rRNA from 1 species
UACGGAGGGUGCGAGCGUUGUCCGGAAUCAUUGGGCGUAAAGGGCGCGUAGGUGGCGGGACAAGCGUGCGGUGAAAGCUCGGGGCUCAACCCCGAGUCGGCCGUGCGAACUGUUUUGCUUGAGCACUGUAGAGGCAGGCGGAAUUCCGGGUGUAGCGGUGGAAUGCGUAGAGAUCCGGAAGAACACCGGUGGCGAAGGCGGCCUGCUGGGCAGUAGCUGACACUGAGGCGCGACAGCGCGGGGAGCGAACAGG